UCUACACCGUCAAUGGGAUUUUAUUCUAAAGGGCAUUAACGUCCCACUGGAAACAAGAGGCGUAAUCUUAGGGUGGUUCGGGAGGGAGCCCAGACUCGUCCUUCAGAAGCAACAGGUGGGAGAGUCAGAAGUGUUCUCUGCGAUUCUGAAUGAAUGAGCGAACGAAUGAAUGGACAGCAGACGACAGGCCGCUGCGCUGCGUGGUGUGAGUGAGUGAGUCAGGCCUUUCUCGCUUCCCGCAGGCUUUCCUCCCUUUCACGCCAGCGAGGUUCCCCGCUGGUCCAGCACAGAUGCGAGAGGAGAAAGCAAAUUGCCCAGGGCCAGAUGACAGCUCACCUAGGUGCGAAAAUCGCCGACCUUCGCUAAAUCCCAGCACAAAGCGACCCGCCUCCCACCCCUAGCUCAGCCUGACUGCUAUGAGGCUCAGCCUCAGAUUUACGUUGUUUUUCUUCAUCAUUCAGGACCGGUGAUUAGUAAUACUCUCCAAAAUAUGCCCAUACCCAAAAUUACUGGAGUUAAAAAAUUUAAAUCUCCCAAUGCAGA